AGAGAGAGACAUGCGCGCAUAUCAAUAAGCGGAGGAAAAGAAACUAACAAGGAUUCCCCUAGUAACGGCGAGUGAAGCGGGAAGAGCUCAAAUUUGAAAUCUUAAAGGGUUUCCCUUUACGAAUUGUAGUUUAAAGAAGUGUUUUCUGUUGAGGUUUUGGUAAAAGUUCUUUGGAAUAGGACAUCAUAGAGGGUGAGAAUCCCGUAUUUGACCUUUACUUUCAACUUUGUGAUACACUUUCAAAGAGUCGGAUUGUUUGGGAAUGCAGUCCAAAAUGGGUGGUAAAUUUCAUCUAAAGCUAAAUAUUGGCGAGAGACCGAUAGCGAACAAGUACCGUGAGGGAAAGAUGAAAGGAACUUUGAAAAGAGAGUUAAACAGUACGUGAAAUUGUCAAAAGGGAAGCGUUUGACACCAGUGUUGUUUUUCUGAAAAUCAAUUAAAGAACUGUUUAUGCUAAGUUGUUUAGACUUUAUCAGCUAACUGUUUAGUUUUGAGCUUUUCUUUAAUGCACUUUUCAGUUAACAAGUCAACAUCAAUUUCUUUUGCUGUAAAAAAGCUUGAGGAAGGUGGCUUGAGAUUCGUCUUAAGUGUUUAUAGCCUCUUGCCUAUGCAGUCGGAGAGAUUGAGGUCUGCAGCGUAGAUCCUUCGGGGCUAAAUGCAUUUGUGCUAAGUUAUAGCAUUUUAUAGACAACUUGUUGACUAUGAUUUGUCUUGUAGCUUACUCGCUUAUGUUAUUUUACCUACGCUUAGGAUGUUGACGCAUGAGAUAUACGC
rnacentral:rRNA from 1 species